GCUUUGGCUCAAGAGGCUUCAGUGAGAAGAGGUGAAGAGCCACGUGGCAGCAGGUGAACGACAGCCAGCUCAAGUUCAAGCUUCUCUGAACCGGAAGAAGUAACAAAUUCCCUUCAACCUCAAGGGUCCACCUCAGAUGGGAAGUAGGAUCGACUGUGUUAGGAAAACUGCAGUUGAAGGGACAAUCAUCAGGCUGAAUACUUUAGCUAAGCAAAUUACUGGAGAUCUAAAGCAAAAGCAGAAAGUGCUGGAGACAUCAACAUCUGUGAUGCUGCCCGAUUGUGUGUCUGCAGUAUUUUCUGCUAUAAGAAUGGGAGUUCACCACCCAGCGGCUGAGAAAGAACCCAAGCUUUUCUGGCGAGGAGAAAAAGGAACUCGAGGCAGAUUGAGGAACAUGUGGAAGGAGAAAGUCUCGGCAUUUUACCGAAUCAACAGAAAGCAGUAAGUGGGAGUGAUGAAUCAUCUAAACUGUUCACUUGCCAGCAAAAUGUAAACACAGUGAAUGUGACAUAAAUCCUGGAACUCCCUCCUCAACUGCCCUGAGGGCCUUCACCAGAACCCUGCUCACCAGUGGCGUGCUCUGCUCCUUCACAAGAAGGCAGAUGACCACCAGCUUCUCUUGGGCACCAGAGAUGGUCAAUAAACAUUGGGUCAAUGGCAAGGAGGUCCAAGGUGAGG